AAAAAAGGGAAGCUCUGUAAAUGGCAUUUUCUUUUAGGAGAAUGUUUUGCAUGAUAUCAAUUUUUCAAGAAGGUAAUAGGGAAGUAGCAAACGUGAUAUUCAUUUCUUUGUGACUGGAUGUUUGUGUUUAAUGUGUGAACUUGGUAAUGUGCGUGUGCUUUGCUAAAUUUUGAUGAGUGAUACGUUCCUAUUUGAUUGUUUGAUUCUUGUUAUGCAACAUAGGGAAUAAGGGGAAAAAAUAAUGUUAAUGAUUUUCCUUGUUAGAGUUGUUUCUACACAUCUUUUAGCUCUUUCUUUUUAAAAAAAGGAAAGAAAAAAGAAAAAAGAAAAGAAAAU
rnacentral:misc_RNA from 1 species